GGAGGUGAACGGGGUCUGGUGGCCCCCCUGGUCUUCAAAACCAGCGGCUCGUCGAAGAGGCGAGCGGUGGGUUCGAUUCCCAUCCGCCUCC
rnacentral:tRNA from 1 species